AUUGAACGCUGGCGGCAGGCCUAACACAUGCAAGUCGAACGAGUGGCGGACGUGUGAGUAAUGUCUGGGAAACUGCCUGAUGGAGGGGGCUACCUACUGGAAACGGUAGCUAAUACCGCAUACCAUCGGAUGUGCCCCUAUGGGAUUAGCUAGUAGGUGGGGUAACGGCUCACCUAGGCGACGAUCGCUAGCUGGUCUGAGAGGCGGACCAGCCAGACUGGAAAUGAGACACGGUCCAGACUCCUACGGGAGGCAGCAGUGGGGAAUAGUGCACAAUGGGCGCAAGCCUGAUGCAGCCAAGCCGCGGGUAUGAAGAAGGCCUUCGGGUUGUAAAGUACUUUCAGCGGGGAGGCGUUACCCGCAGAAGAAGCACCGGCUAACUCCGUGCCAGCAGCCGCGGUAAUAC
rnacentral:rRNA from 1 species